GACGGCGUAGCUCAGUUGGCAGAGCAUUGGGCUAGUAUUCCAAACGUCGUAGGUUCGAUUCCCACCGUGGCCA
rnacentral:tRNA from 1 species